rnacentral:tRNA from 4 species
AAGGGCUUAGCUUAAUUAAAGUGAUUGAUUUGCGUUCAGUUGAUGCAGGGUAUAGUACUGCAGUCCUUA